AUGGGGCACUGAGGCCAGGCCCCCAGGGCCCUGACCUUUGUGUGUCCCCCACCAUCACGGCAAGGCCUUACUAAAAUCUCGGCCACAGAGUAAAUAAUGAAAAAGGCUACGAGGACGAGUAUGUGAGUACAUCUGUUUCAAACUAAUCAAAGAACGUGAUGUGGUAACUAAGCUUCUCAGAUCGUCUUGUGACGAGGUGGCGUGAGGUGUCAUAUGUUAUUUUGCUUGUCCUCACUGCUUCAUACGGCUAGUACAAACUGGCCAUGAGCACUGCCAAAGACACAGCCAUCCUUCUGCUCUUCCUUCAGUCUUGAAAUGCUAUAGCAGGUUGUCAGUAAGUUGGAACAUGGACCUGCAUAAGAUACGUGGUGUAAAUGUUGGCCUAUGCCUUUUUAUGGUGUAAGACUGCAGGUGUUUUUAAAGAAAAGAGAAAACUGGAAGAAGUAGAACUUAGGCACAGAAAGCACAAUUUAUUAACAGACCCCUUCUAAAGCUUGCAUGUUAAACAGGCUUUCACUGGAUGCCUUCAAGAAAUUACUAAAACUCAUGCAAUAUCUUUAUGUCCAAAAAGUAAAACAGUUGCUAUCAGCAAAUGUUCUCAACUUUUCUGUGCCAAAAUGGGUAAAAUUAUUCCAGCUAGUUUUUAACCUAUUUUAGCAUACAUUGCAGCAAACUAUCGAGUGGUAAUGUGGAGAUGGUCUCUUCAAGAUGAGCUUAUCAUGCCAAGUCCAAGAAAUACGGUUGGGAGACUUGUGCUAAGGGAGACGUGCGCACUCACCAGAUGAUGAAAUAAGCAGCACAGAAAGCUUGUGAAAUGCUACUAUGUUUCUGCCAGAUCAGUGAACAGGUUCUGUGUCUGUCAUUAUCAACAAUCUUCUAUUGUAAAUGCUGUGAUAGCAAAAGCAGUUUUGAAAGAUGGAUUCAAUGGGAAAGUACUAUGGGCAAAAAGUGAAGGCUUCAAGACUUCCGUAGAUUCCUGUACUAAAAGGAAACCAAUGGAAAAAGCUGGGUUGUGAAACUCCCGCCAGAUUUUCAGCUUUACACGUGUGCCAGAUGGCCCAAGGCAGAGCAAACCUGUGGCCUCUGCCUCGCUGCCCCGCGCUGGGUUGUGGCUGCACUGCUCUCUCACCUGGACGAGGCAGGGCUGCCGGGCUCGCCGGGCUGCAGCCCGCCCAGCGACCCCGCUCGCCUGCCUCUGAAAGUGCCUCUCUUUAGUAGGCAUUGUGGCCAUGUGAACCACCACCUCCAGAUCUUCUCGACAGUCCAAGAACGGAAGUUUUGGACCCAUACAUUUCUGAGACUGACAUCACAGCAGCCAGAAACAGCGGUGGCAGUGGCUCAGCAAAGCACCAGUCCUGCUCUGGGGACCCGUUCUUCAAACUUCACGUACCUCAGAGUUGUGGCAAAGACUGCAGGAGACGAGGGCACCCUGAAGAUGCUGAGUAGCUAGCAGGAUGGCAUUUUAUUAUGGAAACAGUGGCAAUUUGGCCAAAAAACCCUCUGAACACAAAAAUCCCGAUGUCAUCUUUUUUCAGAUGCCCAUUAUGAAGGGUCGGUUUAAGAUACUGUCUUUGCAUUAGAACCGGAGUGAGUUUCCCUUAAAACCACACAGAAAAGCUUUGCAAAACUCCAGACCGUUUCCAUGGCUUCCUGAAUAUCUUGUGGAUUUGCCUUGAACCUUAAAGGCGGGAUAAAUGAACCCGCGAGGCAGUUCUGCGCAAAGGAGAAGAGGUGACUUGCUAGCAAGGGAAACCUGGUUGCAGUGUGCAGCCCUGAGGCUGAGGCACCUUCUGCAGUGCCACCUGCGUGGGCUCCGCAGCCUCCCAGGGAGCCUUCCCGGCGGCCUCGAGGCGUCCGGCGAUGGAAAGCUGCGCGCGGCGUGGACGAGCUGCCUUCAUCUGCACGCCUUCGCUCCCGCAGCGGUCCCUGCGUUCCCGCGUCCACCAAGCUCAUGCAAUUCCCCUGACUGUGCACGGCUGAACGGGUCCUGCCGAACGGGUCCAGGGGGCUGGACAACGUGGGCGCUGGCCGCUGGGGCCGGCAGCAGUGCAGACGUGCGUGCGGGCGCUAGCACAAAGCACGGCUAUGAAAACAGUGGCAUAGACCGAGAGGUUGUCUGGUCUGACGUGUUCUGAUACUUAUUUGAUGCUUGUUUUAUAUUUCCGGUGUCUUGUUGAAUCUCAUUUUACAGGCCCCUCUGAGUGCUGAGGUUUCCACAGCUUAGCUAGGAAAAAAAUUCAGUGCUAUAAUAGCUUCAACCUACCCCACAACAACUGGUAAUUCCAUUCCAUUUUAGUUGCUUUUUUAUUUUAUGAUGUAAAGAAAGUUGUAUACAAUUACCCAUUAAAGGAUAAUACCCCUCUUUAAUUUCCUUCUGAUUGUUUUUUCUUACUGCAAGUAUUUUUAUGGCAGUAGAAAUGGACAAUUCUAAUAUAGUACUAUAUACAUUUUUCUAAUGAGCCUGCUUUUCUACAGCCUUGUGUUUUUCACGUUUUGCAUCUAUGCAAAGCCUUAUAGAAUGAUACCAAGCCAGGACACUUACGCUUGUGUCCACUUUGCACAGAUGAAAAUGACUGCAUUAAAGAAGAGACACUGGAAGGCCUGACCAGUAGUUCCUGUGCAGAAACUGAGAACCGAUGGCACAUGGAUGGCAUAAGGAAGUAUCUUCUUGUCUUAUAUGUAGAGCUUGUUGUGGAAACCAGCUUGUGGUAGAUACUAUCUGCACUUGCAUUGUUUGUAAAAGAACCUUCUUAUCUAUUUUAAAAAUGAUAUUAUUUUUGUUAUAAAUUCAUAAUGCCAUAUCAUGGAUGAAUCAUCUUUUGCUGGGCAAGGAGACACGGCUACCAAGUAGCCCAGUGUAAACCAGCAUCGCUUCAUCUGAUGUGACAGGUGAACUGCAUUGUGUCAUCAAUUCAACCAAGUGGGAGUGCCUGGAGCCAGGCUUUUUAAGCCCAUUUUCAUCAAGGGCAUGUCAGAGUUUGUACUUUGAGUAAAAAUAAAAAGGCAGCUCAGUGUAUCUGCUUUCAGGAUGUGCUGUAAGAGAUACUUAAAUGCCAUUGUAUUAGGGAAGGGUAUUUGAGAGUUUUGUUUCACCUGCACCUUGAUUAGUGGGUGAUUUUCCUUCUUUCAGAUAAAAAGGAGAUGGAUGCUGCAGGUGAGAUACAUAGCUUGCCUAUGUUUUUCCUGAAUGUUUUUUGACUAUUUGUUUCCAUAGGAUUGUUCUUUCUGGUAAUGUGUCAGAUGUUAAUGAGGAGCAUAACUGUCAUAUGCUGCUACUUGUUCAUUUUAUCUUUCUGUCUUACCUGAAUGCUGAUCAAGUUCUACCAUGUUCUGAAAACUUAUUCUUUGCUGGACUUCUUCCUCUUCUUGAGAAACUAGUGGAAAACUAAUGAUAAAUUACUUCUCAUGUGUCAUAGGGGAAAAUACAUUAAUUCUAAUUCUUACCUUCAAUAGCAAUAAUAGGUUCCUUCUUUAGUACUCCAAACCUUCAUGUGACCACUGAGCAGGUUAUCUGAUAUACCUCUUCUAAACUCAUGUGUAUCAUAGCUUCCUGCUUUAAUAAUAGGAGCAAUUAAAGAGUAAUGUUUCAACAGAACUUGCACUGACUGCUCUAUCAGUUUGUUUACAAAAACUAAACACAUACUGUUGAACAUAAGUAAAACAAAAAAGCUUUGGCUGUUGGAACUUAUGAUAUCCCCAUGAUAACUGAUUGCAAUUGCAGAAUCGUAUCUGGUUUCAAUACUUUAGAAGUUUGGUAAGGCUAUGGAACUUGGAAAGUAUUGAAUAUUUGCAGAGUGUGAUCAUCUAACUUCUAAUAAUUAUCAAGAAGUCUAAACACUAACAUUAAACUUAAAAUGCAAGUCGAACAGGUAGGAGAAAGAGCUUUCAAAGGGCAGUAUAAAGGUGCAAUUUCCUCUUUCUAUUUAAAUGCCAGUGACUGUUGGUAAAGAGUCUGGCAACCCAUCGGUAUGGGACGUGAGCUGAAAGAUAGAAAAUGAGUCUGGAAGCGUUUGGAUUCACUUGGAGCAAACAAUCAUGAAAUGAUUCUUUGACCAGGACACGUGGAGUGCUUGGGUGUGUAUUGUAAGGCAGGAAUCAUCAGGAGAGAGUAGUACGUGACCAGGGAUGUUAUAAACACUCACUUGUUUGUACUCACUACCACUGCUACUUUACUAAUGCAAAACUGAGUUGCAGAACAACAGAAACAUGCAUGAUGCCCUCUAAACAUCCCAGUGAGGCUGGUACGAGCUGUGAGACUGGAUACUCAUAGCAGCUGGGAAGACUUUUAUCUUAAAGGGAGCAUGAAAAGCCCUUUUUUUUUUUUUCUUCCCAUAUGUUAUAAUCACAACUGCAUAAUUAAAUAAUAUGCUAUACUAAUUUACACUUUUAACUGCUGUUCCACCAUUUUAUACAGGUAAUGCACCUGAAAUAACCUGAAGUUCUGGGAAGGAAAUACACCAAAUGGCAGUAACGCCGACAGGCUGGGCUGUGAGCG